rnacentral:other from 1 species
AAUAGCCUGCAAUGUUUGAGGUACCAUUUAAUUCAACCGACAUAAUUUGAACGGGAGUUCACGUUCCCGGAAUUGAUGACGAAACUGCUUGUCAGGGGGUCAGAAGUUCGAGACAGAGCACCCACCUGCUGUGAGGCGGGUAUGAAUUAACUGGGCCGCGGCAAAGCGGGUUUUUU